rnacentral:rRNA from 1 species
UAGGGAAUCUUCCGCAAUGGACGCAAGUCUGACGGAGCAACGCCGCGUGAGUGAAGAAGGAUUUCGGUUCGUAAAACUCUGUUGUUAGAGAAGAACAGCGCAUAGAGUAACUGUUAUGCGUGUGACGGUAUCUAACCAGAAAGCCACGGCUAACUACGUGCCAGCAGCCGCGGUAAUACGUAGGUGGCAAGCGUUGUCCGGAUUUAUUGGGCGUAAAGCGAGCGCAGGCGGUCAAUUAAGUCUGAUGUGAAAGCCCCCGGCUCAACCGGGGAGGGUCAUUGGAAACUGGUUGACUUGAGUGCAGAAGAGGAGAGUGGAAUUCCAUGUGUAACGGUGAAAUGCGUAGAUAUAUGGAGGAACACCGGUGGCGAAAGCGGCUCUCUGGUCUGUAACUGACGCUGAGGCUCGAAAGCGUGGGUAGCAAACAGG